UGAAGCCGGAAUUGCUAGUAAUGGCAGGUCAGCAUACUGCCGUGAAUACGUUCCCGGGCCUUGUACACACCGCCCGUCACACCAUGAGAGUUGGGAAUACCCGAAGCCUGCGAGCUAACUUUUAGAGGCAGCAGUCGAAGGUAGAAUCAAUGAUUGGGGUGAAGUCGUAACAAGGUACC
rnacentral:rRNA from 1 species